rnacentral:rRNA from 1 species
AGCAGUAGCCACGGUAAUACGUAGGUGGCAAGCGUUGUCCGGAAUUAUUGGGCGUAAAGGGCUCGCAGGCGGUUCCUUAAGUCUGAUGUGAAAGCCCCCGGCUCAACCGGGGAGGGUCAUUGGAAACUGGGAAACUUGAGUGCAGAAGAGGAGAGUGGAAUUCCACGUGUGGCGGUGAAAUGCGUAGAGAUGUGGAGGAACACCAGUGGCGAAGGCGACUCUCUGGUCUGUAACUGACGCUGGGGAGCGAAAGCGUGGGGAGCGAACAGGAUUAGAUACCCCCGUAGUCCCUGUCUCUUAUAC